GGUUGUCCUGAUUCGAUCGGGAUACUCAUCAAAUUACGUUGAAAACCGAGUAGCUUCUCUUGCCAAUGGCGGGCCACAUAAGCCUGCGAAAGCAGCCUAAGCCGUAAGGCCGGUGGAUUACAAAGACGGAGAGCGCUCACAACUUUUAUAGCUGGAGUUUUCAUCACAUCCUCAGGGCAACCCCUUUC
rfam:Prevotella multisaccharivorax DSM 17128 genomic scaffold scaffold_3, whole genome shotgun sequence.